rnacentral:rRNA from 1 species
UGGGGAAUUUUGCGCAAUGGGCGAAAGCCUGACGCAGCAACGCCGCGUGCGGGACGAAGGCUCUCGGGUCGUAAACCGCUUUCAGCAGGGAUGAAAUUGACAGUACCUGCAGAAGAAGCCCCGGCUAAAUACGUGCCAGCAGCCGCGGUAAUACGUAUGGGGCAAGCGUUAUCCGGAUUCAUUGGGCGUAAAGAGCGCGUAGGCGGAUCGUUAAGUCAGAUGUGAAAACCGGGGGCUCAACCCGCGGCCUGCAUCUGAAACUGGCGGUCUUGAGUCUGGUAGAGGAGUGUGGAAUUCCCAGUGUAGCGGUGAAAUGCGCAGAUAUUGGGAGGAACACCAGUGGCGAAGGCGGCACUCUGGGCCACGACUGACGCUGAGGCGCGAAAGCUAGGGGAGCAAACA